GACGAACGCUGGCGGCGUGCCUAAUACAUGCAAGUCGAGCGAAUGGAUUAAGAGCUUGCUCUUAUGAAGUUAGCGGCGGACGGGUGAGUAACACGUAGGUAACCUGCCCCUCACUUCGGGAUAACUCCGGGAAACCGGGGCUAAUACCGGAUAUGACCUCCUUGGGCAUCCUUGGAGGUGGAAAGUUUUUCGGUGAGGGAUGGGCCCGCGGCCUAUCAGCUUGUUGGUGAGGUAGUGGCUCACCAAGGCGACGACGGGUAGCCGGCCUGAGAGGGCGACCGGCCACACUGGGACUGAGACACAGCCCAGACUCCUACGGGAGGCAGCAGUGGGGAAUAUUGCACAAUGGGCGCAAGCCUGAUGCAGCAACGCCGCGUGAGGGAUGACGGCCUUCGGGUUGUAAACCUCUUUUAGUAGGGAAGAAGCGAAAGUGACGGUACCUGCAGAAAAAGCACCGGCUAACUACGUGCCAGCCGCCGCCGUAA
rnacentral:rRNA from 1 species